UUUGAUUGACCCCAGAAGUAACGGCUGUUCGGCUGAGCGCUGACGGCCAUAAGUUGCCAUCAGCGCAUUCGCUUC
rnacentral:antisense_RNA from 1 species